GCAAGUCGAGCGGUAACAGGAAGUAGCUUGCUACUUCGCUGACGAGCGGCGGACGGGUGAGUAAUGCUUGGGAAUAUGCCUUAUGGUGGGGGACAACAGUUGGAAACGACUGCUAAUACCGCAUAAUGUCUACGGACCAAAGGGGGGGAUCUUCGGACCUCUCGCGUCAAGAUUAGCCCAGGUGAGAUUAGCUAGUUGGUGAGGUAAUGGCUCACCAAGGCGACGAUCCCUAGCUGGUCUGAGAGGAUGAUC
rnacentral:rRNA from 1 species